AGACGAACAGGCUCUGAGCCUUGCGUGAUCGACAUGUUUUCAGUUCAGUGUUUUCUUCCAGUUUUCCUGUUAUUUUCUGCUACAGCCACAGGUGCACAGAAGGUUAUUACAGCGUCCAGAGGAGAGACUGUCCUUCUGCCGUGCCCGUCACCUUUUGAUUACAGAGACACUGUUAAUGUUAAAUGGGAAAAGGAUGGAGAGUCAGGUCUCUGUAUGUAUCGUAUGAGUAAUAAUAAGAUUAGUGACCGUGUCUUCAGUCCUCAGUUCAAAGUAAACGCAGACCCUAUCGGACUGGUUAUAACAGAUGUUACAGACAGUGACGCUGGUGUUUAUAACUGUUCACUGAUCAGGAUGAUCCCCCCACCAGCUGCGGAUGACUUUUCAGUCCUGAUUCUUCAAGUUAACGUUCCAGCAGGUCUUAUGGUGCAGCAGGUGAACAUCAGUAACCAGAGCUGUGUGGAGCUGCUCUGUUCUCUGGAGGGUUUGAGUCCAGAGCAGGUCAGCUUCACCUGGUCCAGAGGAUCUGAGCAGCUUCUUCACCAGAACAACUCCAGCAAGAUGAGCAGCACACUGACACUCUGCAAGCCUCAAUGGAGAGACGAGGACACGUUCACCUGCCAGGCCAACUACUCAAGCAACCACACACUUUACAGCAAGAGCAUCACAAUCAAAUAUACUGAUGAAGAACGUCCACACAGCUUUCCAGUUAUUAGUUUGGUCCUAUUCAGCAUCUUCAUCAUCAUUAUCACAGUUAUCUGGAUAAUGUAUUGCCUCGUUUCACGUAAGAGGGUGAGAGCCUUCAUGCCCGAGCCACGACCAGCAGACGAGGCCUCAGAAUGAAACUGAGCAGAUGCUUGAUGACCUCCACACUGAAGGUCAGAUGACAGAUGGGAGACUGAGCUAUGAGUUCAACACCGAGAGCUGGAAAGAGCUACGACACAGCGUCUCACACCGCAGUCUGUUCACCUGCUACAGCGUCGGC
ensembl:lncRNA